GCCCCCGUAGCUCAGCGGUAGAGCGCCCCACUUAUUCUUAGUCUUAUUCUUAGGGGAAGGCCGCGGUUCGAGUCCGCGCGGGGGCA